UGUAUUUUGUUUGGAUUGUUCAACUACAAGCUUGAUUCUCACUGUUUCUACUACUGUUUUUAGUCUGUAGAUUCUCUAAACUGUUUUUUUCAAAACAAAAAGAAAUAGUAAUCAACUAAACUUUUAGUCUAAAGUUUACAAAAUGGAAAUGUGCUGUGAACUUAACAAUCUACGUGAAAUGGUGGUUCAAUCUAUAAGUCAAGAAUCCAUUAGUCAUUAUGUGUAUCUUUGUGUUUAUCUACCUGUAAGUCAUUAUAUGUAUCUUACUCUUUUGUUGGAACUGUGGAAUGACUUUAAUUUCAUUUGAUAAUGCAGGUUAGUCAUUUUGAUCAAGUUUUUGUUUUUUUUAUUUAUGUUUGUGUCUGUUGGUCUUGUGGCACAGCGUUGAAAUAACAGUAAGUCAUUGUAUGUAUAUUUGUGAGUUGUUCCAACUAGGCUGCAAGCAAUCAUUGUAGGAGUUGGAAGUUACUGGAAGAGAAAAGAUGAAGUUUGUAGAGUAAGAUAACAAUUGACAGAUGACUUAAAAGAUUGCAAAUUAUAUGAAACAGGGAAGCAAGAUAAAGGUAGCGAAUUCCAAAGAACUGAUGUUCGAGGAAAAAAAUAGAAGAAUAAGAGUUUUUGGAGCACUUAGAAACAGCCACAAGAGAAUGAAUUUUAGUAGAUAAACAAGGGACUCUAGCUAUUUAGAGCAGU